rnacentral:rRNA from 1 species
GAUGAACGCUGGCGGCGUGCCUAAUACAUGCAAGUCGAGCGAACAGACGAGGAGCUUGCUCCUCUGACGUUAGCGGCGGACGGGUGAGUAACACGUGGAUAACCUACCUAUAAGACUGGGAUAACUUCGGGAAACCGGAGCUAAUACCGGAUAAUAUAUUGAACCGCAUGGUUCAAUAGUGAAAGACGGUUUUGCUGUCACUUAUAGAUGGAUCCGCGCCGCAUUAGCUAGUUGGUAAGGUAACGGCUUACCAAGGCAACGAUGCGUAGCCGACCUGAGAGGGUGAUCGGCCACACUGGAACUGAGACACGGUCCAGACUCCUACGGGAGGCAGCAGUAGGGAAUCUUCCGCAAUGGGCGAAAGCCUGACGGAGCAACGCCGCGUGAGUGAUGAAGGUCUUCGGAUCGUAAAACUCUGUUAUUAGGGAAGAACAAAGGUGUAAGUAACUAUGCACGUCUUGACGGUACCUAAUCAGAAAGCCACGGCUAACUACGUG